UACGUAGGUGACAAGCGUUGUCCGGAUUUACUGGGCGUAAAGCGCGCGCAGGCGGUUGAUCAAGUCGGGUGUGAAAGCCCCCGGCUCAACUGGGGAGGGUCAUUCGAUACUGAUCGACUCGAAGGCAGGAGAGGGUAGUGGAAUUCCCGGUGUAGUGGUGAAAUGCGUAGAUAUCGGGAGGAACACCAGUGGCGAAGGCGACUACCUGGCCUGUUCUUGACGCUGAGGCGCGAAAGCGAGGGGAGCAAACGGG
rnacentral:rRNA from 1 species